rnacentral:rRNA from 1 species
UGGGGAAUAUUGGACAAUGGGCGAAAGCCUGAUCCAGCCAUGCCGCGUGUGUGAAGAAGGCCUUUUGGUUGUAAAGCACUUUAAGUGGGGAGGAAAAGCUUAUGGUUAAUACCCAUAAGCCCUGACGUUACCCACAGAAUAAGCACCGGCUAACUCUGUGCCAGCAGCCGCGGUAAUACAGAGGGUGCAAGCGUUAAUCGGAAUUACUGGGCGUAAAGCGCGCGUAGGUGGUUAUUUAAGUCAGAUGUGAAAGCCCCGGGCUUAACCUGGGAACUGCAUCUGAUACUGGAUAACUAGAGUAGGUGAGAGGGGAGUAGAAUUCCAGGUGUAGCGGUGAAAUGCGUAGAGAUCUGGAGGAAUACCGAUGGCGAAGGCAGCUCCCUGGCAUCAUACUGACACUGAGGUGCGAAAGCGUGGGUAGCAAACAGGAUUAGAUACCCAGGUAGUCCACGCCGUAAACGAUGUCUACCAGUCGUUGGGUCUUUUAAAGACUUAGUGACGCAGUUAACGCAAUAAGUAGACCGCCUGGGGAGUACGGCCGCAAGGUUA